UAAAGUUCUCAGGGCGGGGUGAAAGUCCCCACCGGCGGUGAUGUUGCCAUCGAGCAAACAAGCCCGCGAGCGCCUGCCGUAUAGCAGGGCCAGCAGACCCGGUUGGAAUCCGGGGCCGACGGUUAGAGUCCGGACGAGAGAGAAUGCUU
rnacentral:ncRNA from 2 species